rnacentral:rRNA from 1 species
AUUGAACGCUGGCGGCAUGCUUUACACAUGCAAGUCGAACGGUAACAGGCCGCAAGGUGCUGACGAGUGGCGAACGGGUGAGUAAUGCAUCGGAACGUGCCCAGUCGUGGGGGAUAACGCAGCGAAAGCUGUGCUAAUACCGCAUACGAUCUAUGGAUGAAAGCGGGGGACCGUAAGGCCUCGCGCGAUUGGAGCGGCCGAUGUCAGAUUAGGUAGUUGGUGGGGUAAAGGCCCACCAAGCCAACGAUCUGUAGCUGGUCUGAGAGGACGACCAGCCACACUGGGACUGAGAGACGGCCCAGACUCCUACGGGAGGCAGCAGUGGGGAAUUUUGGACAAUGGGCGCAAGCCUGAUCCAGCAAUGCCGCGUGCAGGAAGAAGGCCUUCGGGUUGUGAACUGCUUUUGUACGGAACGAAACGGUCUGGGUUAAUACCUCGGGCUAAUGACGGUACCGUAAGAAUAAGCACCGGCUAACUACGUGCCAGCCGCCGCCGUAACAC